rnacentral:rRNA from 1 species
CCUAACACAUGCAGUCGAGCGGUAGAGAGAAGCUUGCUUCUCUUGAGAGCGGCGGACGGGUGAGUAAUGCCUAGGAAUCUGCCUGGUAGUGGGGGAUAACGUUCGGAAACGGACGCUAAUACCGCAUACGUCCUACGGGAGAAAGCAGGGGACCUUCGGGCCUUGCGCUAUCAGAUGAGCCUAGGUCGGAUUAGCUAGUUGGUGAGGUAAUGGCUCACCAAGGCGACGAUCCGUAACUGGUCUGAGAGGAUGAUCAGUCACACUGGAACUGAGACACGGUCCAGACUCCUACGGGAGGCAGCAGUGGGGAAUAUUGGACAAUGGGCGAAAGCCUGAUCCAGCCAUGCCGCGUGUGUGAAGAAGGUCUUCGGAUUGUAAAGCACUAUAAGUUGGGAGGAAGGGUUGUAGAUUAAUACUCUGCAAUUUUGACGUUCCGACAGAAUAAGCACCGGCUAACUCUGUGCCAGCAGCCGCGGUAAUACAGAGGGUGCAAGCGUUAAUCGGAAUUACUGGGCGUAAAGCGCGCGUAGGUGGUUUGUUAAGUUGGAUGUGAAAUCCCCGGGCUCAACCUGGGAACUGCAUUCAAAACUGACUGACUAGAGUAUGGUAGAGGGUGGUGGAAUUUCCUGUGUAGCGGUGAAAUGCGUAGAUAUAGGAAGGAACACCAGUGGCGAAGGCGACCACCUGGACUAAUACUGACACUGAGGUGCGAA